AUACAGUGGAUGUAGAAUGCUACUUGUAGAAUGGAAAAUGCAUUUACUGCUCAGUCUCUGCUCAGAUUUCUUUCCCAUGUUUUCUUGAUUCAGGCCCAUGUUAAGUUAGCAGGAAAAAGUUACUUGUAGCGCCUGCUGAAAUUCUUACUUUACACAAAGUAGAUGUUAGUAAGCUGGGGAAGAAGAUUCAUGUAUUUCCUGCUAAUUCCAUAGAGAACAUGUAUCUUUAUUAAUGUUAAUGGUGGAGGCCUCUCAUUAUGUUAUAGAAUAAUCUGCUUUAGCAAAGGUUUUUCUCCUCAAGAACUUCAUAACAUUUAAAGGUUAAUACGUUAGGUAAAGAAUAAUAUCUUAAGAUAAGCGUUUUUAUUACAGGACAUGAUGGGAUGGUUUUUAUUAAAUUACGUGAUGAUUUGAAUGGGGAGGAAGCAGUGCACCGCUUCUUUGCCCUCAACUUUAAUGCCUUUAAUCAAAUAACGACCUUCUGGAAAAUAGUUAGUUUUCAGCGUUUGGAAAGAUCAAUACCACUUUGCUACCAAAAAAUGGCCCAGACGAUGAGAUUUGAUGUAUUUAAAGUAUC
rnacentral:lncRNA from 1 species